rnacentral:lncRNA from 1 species
AUCGCCAGUCAUUAGGCUUCUCAAAGGCCAGGGAGAAUCUGGAGUCACUCGCAUAUGUGUCCAGGCCAAUGGUGAGCAAAUGAAGUUCCUCUCCCCGUCUGCGCACCCAGGACACCUGUAACGAAAAAAAAAGAGAGCGGUUCUUCCCCGGUCAGCUGUCGGUGACCUCUGAAAAUUAUUAGCUGCAAACCCCGGAAAGUCUCUACCUGCUUCUGAACUUUACACGCGAUAUACAAGCGAGUGCAGACAAGGUAUAUUUAUACGCGGUCGACUCUCAUGAGUGGACGUAUAAGAGUAGUCUUGUUCCUUCCGCGAAAGAAAGAGAGAGGAAGAGGGAGGGAGAGUGCCAAGAACACUUUGCAUAAAUCAUGCACAUCGAAGCUAAUGGAACAGUGUGCCAUAAAAAUACGACCGUAUUGCCCGUAAAUCACAGUAAGUUAUGCCGUUAACUGCUGUUAUCUGACGCAAAUAUAUGUCCGCAUUUUAAAACCGAUUGUAUCGCUCCUCCAUUCAUUGAAUCGUGAAUAGAAGCUUCAUGCGCAAAAAAGUUCUGACAGCUUCGAUAAACUUAGUCAAGGAGAUAAACUCAUGGAAUGCUUUUGGCGUUAAUUUCUUUUGUCAAGCCACAGCAGAAAAGAAAUCAAUAAAAGUUUCAUAAAGGAUAAAAAAUCGUGCAAUGUGCAUAUGAAAAAGACGUUAUACAAAAAAUAUUGUAUUAAUAAAACGUAUUUUAAUGUAGAAUAGAAAAGAAUUUAAAUUAAAAUAUAAAAUUUUGAAAAUAUAACAUUUUCACACAUAAUUUUAUAGUGUUGAAACUUGUUUCUCUUAUAAAGUUAUGAUUAUAAGCAAUUGUGUUAACGAGAAUAAAGCUUUUAUAAAAUAUAAAAAUUAAAUAUUCUUUCAUAUUAUCAUGCAUCAAUAUCCAAUAAAAAAACACAUAGAUGUUAUAUAUUUUACGUUUAUGAAUAUGUAUGUAUGAAUAUGCUUUAAUAUAAUUGUAUAAUUUUAUAUUGAAUGGAGGAAUUUUUAAAGAUUACGUUUAUAAGAUAUAUAUCAAAUAUAUGCUGGUUUUAAUUAAAAAGAAAGAAAAAUAUAUAACUCUGAACAAAGCAAACGAAAAUAAAAAAAUGUUACUCUUAACAAGCAAAGGUAUCAUAUCUUGACUGUCAUAAAGAAAAGAUUAUUAAUAAUAACAAAUUAUUAAUGACGUUUUUCAUCUUUUGUGAAAAGAUAAUUUCACAAAGCUACAUUUUUCUAGUAUAACAAAAAUAAGACACUGAUUAAGAUAAAAGUCUUAGGUAAAGUUUUGCGCAUUGAUUAACAUAAUCUGAUGAUUUGUAUGAUUUGUAUAAUAAUUAAUUAUUGUAUUUUAUUUUCAAAAUUAUAUAUUAAUAUUAUAUAUUUGUUUUCUUGAAACGCAAUAAAUUAAUUUGCAGAUAUAUUUUAAAUAAAAUAUAUUUUACUCUUCAAAUAAACGAUAAUUUUAACAUAUGAUAUAAUACAGGAAUUGAUUUGAAAUACAUAAACAGAAUUUGUACAAAUUUAUUUUGUAAUAAAUAUUUCUCGAAAUGAUCAUAGCGUAUUUUGAUCUUUGUUUUUUUAGCUGUUUUAUAUAAGUAGAAUCAUUACGCGCUAUUAUUUGUAUUAUUAUUACACUCGAGCAAACAUAAGUUUCUUUGCAUUACAUCUCAACAUCAUUUUUUGAGUGAUUUAUGAUUAUAAUUAUGUAUUUAAUUAACUAUUUAAUUAAUUAUUACCACUAAUUUACCACUUAUCAUUAAACCUUGCCGUAUCAAGAUGACAGGCAAAGCAAAUAUUUUGCACGAUUUAUUCAUUCAAAAUAAAAAUCAAAGUUAAUCAUCAAAAAUAGAAAUUGUUUAAAUUAUUACGUUAACAUAAUACUUAUAAAUAAUUAUUUUUUCUUUGACAAUAAUUAAAUUCGAAUAUAUUUCACAAUGCGCUUAGUAAUAAACACAUAAUAUUUAUUUUGGCUUUUUUGCCAAAAUAAAUAUUGUUUAUUUAUUACUACUUUUAAAAAUAACAAAUAAUUUAUUGGAUUAAAUAAUAUUGAUAACGAGAAAGCCAUAAUUUAUUCUGUACACAUUUAUUGAUAAUAUUUUGUAUGCUUUGGCGGAAUUAUACGCAUUGUGCAUAUUAACAUUGGAAAUACCGAACAAAGUUCAGUGCUAAAAAAAUACAUAAAGUUGCAUAAACAAUAAGUAUAAAAUAUAUACGAUGUACAGUGAGAAUGCAAUUUAAAUUUGUCAUUUACGUUUAUUUUUUUAUUCGUUUAUAUAGUUUUUGUCGCGGCUUUAGCGUUCGCAGUUCAUACUUGGAAGUUAACGAGAAAGUUUGCGGAUUGUAGAAUAGGCGGUUCGCACUGUUCAAAUUGAUAUACAAUAAUUUAUUGUUUAUUCCCAAAACUGCUUGAGAUUUACAAAGUAAUAGUAAACGCUAACUCGUAGAGCGAAUAUCGGGUAACCGCUCGAAAACUAGCAAAGGGAUAGCAGAGCGUGUAUGUACAUAUCUUGAUAAAGUUCCGUGUGAGAUCCGCAGAAUUAUAUGAAUAACGCGUCGAUCGCCUUAUAAAGACUUACCAGCCCGGAGGCAACGCGAGAAGGAAACGACGGAUACCUCAUCCUCUCGACUCGAACGCCUUGACUCGAUUGCGAGAGAAAAAGUCCAGCGCAAUACAUACACUGAACGUAACAAAUCAAAUAGAAAUCAUGCGAAACACGCAUAUCAAAUUUUCAUGGCAGACGUUUACGGACCGGAAGAUAGAAGCAAACGCCUCUCGAGCCAAACCGAUUGAGCAGCCACGUCGAUAUUCCAACACAGUUAUGUAUAUAUUUCCACUGCUCUCUCAGAAUCAGUGUAUUAGCACUAAAGAACUGAAUAAACACUGAUGAUUAUAAUUUGAACUAUAGUACUGCGAAUAAGAUUUCACUAAUUCCGAUUUAGAGAGUGGAAAUCGUGUAAUUUUAUUUUGUUAAUAAUAUUUUGUUUUCAUAUAAUUUUAUCUAAUUUUUUUACAGUGUGCGAAAUACGAUUACACUAAACUGAUAAUUUCAUUUCCAUGAUUUAUUAUAAUUAUAAAAAACAAUUCUUUGAUAUAAAGAUUAUUAAUUUUAUUUUCUUCGAUAACAUUUUCUUUACAAAGUAACAAUAAUAAUCUGAUUUCCAUGUCUUUUCUAAUGAUAAAUAAAAUUAGAUUUGAUGUGUAAUAAUAGCAUAUUUAUCGAAAUUUGUUCGGGAGAAUUUAUUUGAAAUAAUAAAUUAUUUUCAUAAGGUAUUAAACAUCUUGAUACACAAAACAAAAUUUAGUCAUGGAAAUAUUAAAUAAUAAACUUCAAAACGAUGAAAAAAUUAGUUUAAUAGAUAAGAAUUUCAUAUAGAUGAGACUUUAUUCAAUUUAUUUAAAACUUUAAAAUGAAAAUUUAUUUUAUAAAGUAUUAAAUAUUUUAGAUAAUAUAUUUAUUCUUGGUAUUUAUAUUACGCUGUCUUGGGCUUUUGUUGUUAGACAAAGUGUCGUCGCGCUACCACUUUGCAAACCGAACGGGUCAUACACCAUAACAUGUUUAAGGUCUUUGCUUUUGCGUUAUCAUUCUCGUCCAGACGCUUGACCCAACAAGCAGUCGAGCAAGCGGGUCAAGCUGCGUGAGUAGUGUUAUUACACCUUGAAACACGAUACGAUAAGUACAUAGAGAAUACCACAGGUAUUAGACAGAUACAUCAUUCUCUGUGAAAUGACCGUUAGAUUAUUUCGCGAUUAAGAUAAAAUUCACACGACUUGUAUAAAGCUCCUUCUAACGGAAACUAACAGUGAGUCUGUUAGACUUACACCGUCAAUUAUAAAUCUUGAAUUACAUAGAAAGAUUUCUGCAAAGAUUUUAUUUUCUUUUUAGAAGAUUCUUUUUAAACUUUUAAUUUAAGGAAGAGUAAUUAUAUCUAUAGUUCUUUUAUCCAAAUUCAAUUCUAUAAAGAAAAAUGCUAUCAUGUCAAGUUUGUGAGAAAAAUGUGACUCAAAAUCGCCCCAAAAUUGCGCUUUUUUAUUAUUUUUGAAAAAUUUUGAAAUUUGUGACAAGUUUGAUACAUGAAGAAUUUUGAAAAAAACCCAAAAAUAAUAUUUGAACAUUUAAUAUGAUAAAGUUUUAAUACGAUAAGUAUCGAAGCUUUUACCGCCGGCACCAUUGAAUCCCUAACACGCUAUUUUCUAAGAAAUAGUUGAAUAGACCCAUAAUAAGAAUGCAGUUAUAAAAAUAUUAACGCACUUUUUUAUCAUUCUAUCCUUGUUUUAUAUCUAAUGAACGAUAAAGAGUGAGAAUUUCAAUGCCAAUUUAUUUUAAUAAUUAAAAUUAAAUUCUAAAACAUACAUAAUAUUUUUUAAUAAUAUAAAUAUCUUUAUAAGGAUAAUAAUAUUACGUAACAUAUGUAUGAGUUUUCACAAUUUUAUAUAUACUGUAAUUCUAUAUAUAUUGCAAUUUUAUCAUUUUACAUAUGAUAUUAUAAAAGUAAACUAACAUUAAAAUUCAAUACACGUGAUUGCGACACAAAAGCUUUAAACGAAAAUGUUAUAAUAAGGAUUAUAUAAAUUUUGUGUAUGUGUGGGUAUGUUUGCAUGAAAAAAUGCACAUUAAUAAUAAUACAACUGUAAUGUGUAAUUAUUAAACAUUAAAAAUUAUUUGAAAAGAAAACAUUUUGAUACUCGCUAAAGGAUAUAAUUUAUAUAUGGUACGUCUGAUCGGCAAGCCAUUGCUACCAGUUGUGGUCGACAAGGGGGACAAUGGGCGUUGACUCGGAAAUCUAAUCGAAAGUUGCGAAUCGUGUCGACCACUGUGAUAGAAUAGUUUUACUUACAAAUUCAGACUCAGCGCACAAAAAAUUACAAAAAACUUCUCUCUCUAAAUCCGCAAAAUCAUGCCUGUGUUAUUAAAAUAAACUUAAUAUAC